rnacentral:lncRNA from 1 species
GAAAGAAAAUCCGUUAAGGAUCUGUGGACUGGAGCAGAGAUCAGGCUAUCCCUGGCUGGCGCCCGGGGCUCCCCCAGACUCCUCUCCCAGCCACAGGGCCGAGGGGCCAGUGCUUUUGGCUGACACCCCGCCUCCCGCCUGCAGCCCCAGUUUCCAGCCCUUGGCACAGAUAGGCUCUUGCGAAAGGGACGACUCCAACGCAGAGAUGCCCAGUCAGCACUGUGCCCUCUCCCGCCAAACGCGCUUACGCUGCCCAAGUGCACACUACGGUCUCCUUCACCCACAGGCUGCUCUAUGUGAGCGUGCCGCGCCCGCGGUCCCAGCUCCGUGCGUGGAGUUACUACUUCUGGGGUGCAAGCCCUGGUCCCGCUGGUCAUGGAGGAGGGCAUUGUGCCCAGCCCAGCCCUCUCUACUCCCUUACUGCCAGAGAUGCGGUCUCAGUAUGUUGUCCAGGCUGAUCUCAGAUCCUUGGCCUCAAAGGAUCCUCCUGUCUGGGUCUCUCAAACUGCUGGGAAUACAAGCAUGAGCCACCACAGCUGACGAACAGCUAUUUUUGAAUAAAGUAAAGGAAGAGAGGGAGGGAGAGAAGAAGGAAGAAGAAAAAAAAGAAAAGAAGUGAAGGAGGGUUAACUACAGCCAAAGAAAAAGAAGCAGCCCAACAGAGAGCUCAGGAAAAUUACACUUCAUACAUCCAACUGCUAUGGAAGAGGAUGGAGGUGAGAAGCGGAGGGAGAAAGAAGGAUGUGAUAUUCCAUCCCCAUUAAGAAAAUUUUUCAAGCCCCCAAUCUGAACCUACUGAAUCAGAAUUUGAGGAGAUGAGACCUGUAUACCUAGAUUUUCAAAAGACUCUCAACUCUAUCCACUCUCAUCACUUCUAUUUAACAUUAUACUGGAGGUCCUGGCCAGGGAAGUAAGGACACAAUUGGAGAAACUGGUUAUUUUGCCAAGGCUUUGAUGGGAAUGGCGUGGUUCCCUUUAAGGAAGCAAAUUUGACUUAUAGAGCCAAUAAAAGCCCCUUGGGAAAACUGGCCUCAUACCUUGUCUACACAGUACUUGUACAGGGCUCCUGACCUAUGAUGGACCCUUGAAGGAAGAAAACAUCGAAGGAGGAAAGAGAAGGCUUUGACAUAAAUUGAGAGGAACAAGGAGAAAGAGAAUCUGCUUUAUUACCCAGAGGAUACAAUGAAGGAAGCUUGGGGUCAUCCUAAAUUCCUGAAUUUUCUCUAUUUUGCAAGAUCCAGCCAAUAAUCAAGUCUAGUCACUUUUUCCUCCUCGUAAGUAUCUUCUGUACCUUCGGUUCCCACUGCCUCAUCGUUUUUUGUUCUGGGUAUUUGAAUAGGCUUCUCGUGGUCUCCAGAAUCCAAGGAAUGCUCUCUUCAAUCCAUUCUCUUCAAUAAUACAGGAAUGAAUCCUUAAAAUUCAAAUUGAGCAUGUCAUUGGCUUACCCUGAAGUCCUUCAUUCACACCCAUCUGCUUCCAGGAAGUGCCCCUCAGUCCUGUCUUUCUGUGAUGUAUGAGACCACCUCCUGCUGGAGGCUUACCUCUCAGAUGUACCAGUCGUUGUGGCCACAGUGGCCUUCUGGAAUUUUCUGUACACUCUCAUUCCUGAGAGUCUUGCUUAUGCUCUUUUUCAGAUCUGGAAUGGUUUUUCCCAUCUCUGUAAAGAAACAUUUUCAUCUGAAAAAUUGGGAAACACCAUGAUUAUUUGACACAUUUAAAAAAUGCCAAGUAUAUGAAAUUAAAUUAGGUAGAAUGAUUUUUGGGGGGAUCUAAAGAAUUGCCAAUUAGUGAAUACACAGAAUGCCCAGAAGAGAAGUUUUACAAAAAUUGUUAGGGUAGAAACUGUUAUUACUAACAAUUUUCUGUGUAGAAACUAGUAUAAUCUUUUGGAUGCUAAGGAAGCUGUAAUCUGGAAUUACAAACCAAAGACAAAACCAAACUUCAGACAUUGCUGGUGCUACCACCAUGGAGAAGGAGAGAGAUUCAUACGUAAUUGAAAUGAAUCAGUCUCUUUCUAUGGCUUAGGUGUCUUAAUGGGGCGAGGUGUCAGUUUUUACACUGCUUACUGGCAUUGUUUCAAACUACAAGGGCCUCUGUGCACCACCUGACCUGGGAACUUAUCUCCUGGUACCCGGAGAGGGACAGAUGACUUGGAUUUGAUCCUAAAUGGGACUAUUAGAGAAAAAUGGCAGUUAAUACAUCAACAGAAAAAAGAUUAAUUGUUUAGUAAUCUGGAAAGGGAUAACUAUGCCAACAAUUUCAAGGAAGAGAAGAAGCUUUUCAGUAAGUGGUUAAGAUAAAUAUUUUGCACACUAAAAUUCUG